UCUGUUCCUUACAGUUCUAGCACUGAGUGACAGACUGCACGUAGCCCAAGUCCCGUUUUCCUGGUGCCAAUAGAGCAGCAAACUGGAAUUCUUUACUCCCAAAUUUCUGUUGUGGCUUCCUUUCUUCAGCAGUGGUUCACCUUGUACUGAGUGUUUAUGGAUAUCACAUUUGAAUUUUCCCUUUUGAGGGAGAAAGAGGGAAAGAAACAGCUCCAAGUCAAAUCCAAAUAGGGAACAGGAACAGGGGAGGAGGGUGUUCAGGGGGGUUCCUAAGCUGCCUCUGUUUCUACCCUGUUGCAGUAGUGAGAGCAGAAUCAGCAGCACUCACUUCUUUGUUUUUCAGGGCAGCAGCUCUUAGUGCUACUGCUUUGAAUGCUCUUAAGCAAACUUAGAGGGUGAUACCCUACCCUUCCUCACCUCGUCUGCUGUAACUGCUUUCUGAGCUGGGGUUUGUGUGCAGCACCAGGGGGGGCUCACCAAAAUCUCAUUGUAUCUUCUUUUCUCUCCCUUCCCAUGUGCAUCGAUGGAAGCUUCUUGAAGUGCAUGGACAGGAAAGGAGAAAUGUUACACUGAACAGCCAGGAGCAGGUGGCUGGCUCUGGUAAUGGAGCAGGAGCUAAUGAUGUACCUGUGGCUGACUUAGCCCCUGCAGAACAGGGAGCAGAGGAGGAGGACACUGAAAGUUCAGAUGCACAGCAAGGAGUUGUCAUUAGGUGUCCGAUUUGCAUGGAAUAUUACUCAGAG